CUUGAUUUCCCACUUAUAUAUCCUUUUUUUCAUGUUGGACUUUGUUUCUGUUUACCUUACUAUCUAACUAGUGUUAUGCAGUUGAGUAUUAGGCAUAAAGAUUGAAUCUUUUUUGUUUUAGAGCAAAGGAAGUUUAUGUUUUGUGUCUUGAAUUCAUUGGUGAUUAUUUUGUUGAUUGAAGGGGAAAGUAGGAUUCUUGAAGGUUUUGAUGUUUUUAUUGAAUUAUUAGAACUACUGACCAAGAUAGAAGAAUUGAUAAUUAUAAAUCAGUCUCAUGCUUACUAUUAUUAAAAAAGCUUAUGUGUACCUCAUGAGGAGAUUGAGGAUUAGGGUAUAAGAAAGAAAGAAAAAAUGGCAAAAAGAAUCAAUCCGACCUGCCGGAUUCGAACCAGCGACCUAAGGAUAUCUGAAAGGUUUACACCAACUACAGUCCUCCGCUCUACCAACUGAGCUAAGAGUAGGAGUAUAUU